rnacentral:misc_RNA from 1 species
GAUGAAGAACGCAGCGAAAUGCGAUAAGUAAUGUGAAUUGCAGAAUUCAGUGAAUCAUCGAAUCUUUGAACGCACAUUGCGCCCUCUGGUAUUCCGGGGGGCAUGCCUGUUCGAGCGUCAUUAUAACCACUCAAGCUCUCGCUUGGUAUUGGGGUUCGCGGUUCCGCGGCCCCUAAAAUCAGUGGCGGUGCCUGUCGGCUCUACGCGUAGUAAUACUCCUCGCGAUUGAGUCCGGCAGGUCUACUUGCCAGCAACCCCCAAUUUUUACAGGUUGACCUCGGAUCAGGUAGGGAUACCCGCUGAACUUAAGCAUAUCAAUAAGCGGAGGA